GGGGAAUAUUGGACAAUGGGGGCAACCCUGAUCCAGCAAUGCCGCGUGUGUGAAGAAGGUCUUCGGAUUGUAAAGCACUUUCGACGGGGACGAUGAUGACGGUACCCGUAGAAGAAGCCCCGGCUAACUUCGUGCCAGCAGCCGCGGUAAUACGAAGGGGGCUAGCGUUGCUCGGAAUGACUGGGCGUAAAGGGCGUGUAGGCGGUUUACACAGUCAGAUGUGAAAUCCCCGGGCUUAACCUGGGAGCUGCAUUUGAUACGUGUAGGCUAGAGUGUGAGAGAGGGUUGUGGAAUUCCCAGUGUAGAGGUGAAAUUCGUAGAUAUUGGGAAGAACACCGGUGGCGAAGGCGGCAACCUGGCUCAUGACUGACGCUGAGGCGCGAAAGCGUGGGGAGCAACAGGAUUAGAUACCCUGGUAGUCCACGCUGUAAACGA
rnacentral:rRNA from 1 species